GGUACCCUAGGCCCAUUCAGCACGCGUUCUUUUUUUCUCUGCCCUCUACUCCGUUGUCUUAUGAGUCUUCGCUAGGUUUGUGUCCGUCAACCUUAGUCUCAUUGAAACAUUAUAACCCCCUCAAACACUAUCAUUCACUUAUACCUGCUUAUAAGCUCAGGAGGCAUCGAUUGUCUGUGUUAGCGACUUUCAUACGUCUUAGGUUGUGAUACAGCUCAAUACUUAGCGAGGAUGAAAAAGUUGCAGAAAGUGGUUACUUUAAGCUAGCUUUGUGUGUCUUGAAGUCUUACUUGGAAGGCUCAGAUUUGCUGUAAAUCUCUCCAGUUCCCCAUCAUCAGAAGGUAUAAUUUGUUGGUUUGCUCUAUAGCUAUUUGGGAUACAUGCAGUGGUGGAAUGAAUGGUUACAUAUCCUUAUAUGGUGGAGAACCUUGCCCUCCUAUUUUUAGGUCUCUUAUUGCAAGCAUGGAAGAUAUCAUGGACAAUCAUGUUAUAUGUGCAAUAUAUAGACUCCCAGAUGCACAUAAACAUAUUAGCCGACCACCACAAGGAGUUAAAUUUCUAAAAAAGAUUGUUGAAAUUGGGGAUCUAAAACUUGAACCUGUUUUGUGGCAUGAAGAUUCAGGCAGGAGACACCAUUCUGAAAAUGGGAGGAUUUUUGGAUAAUUUACAAUUUGAUAAAUUCUGUGUUGUUAAAAGAUCGUUAUGGUCAUUUGUGUGUUCAAUUUUUUUAGUAAAAUUAUGUAGUCCUGUAAAUUCUUGCAAAAUCUAUUGUAAAUUGUAGACUUUCUCAUUUAUUAUGUAAAUUCUUAUAUUAUGUAAUUAAAUUAUUUUACAAUUAUUGAAAAUGAUGAUAAUAGUUUUGGUUCAAA